rnacentral:rRNA from 1 species
UCUACGGGUGGCAGCAGUGGGGAAUAUUGCACAAUGGGGGAAACCCUGAUGCAGCGACGCCGCGUGCGUGAAGAAGUAAUUCGUUACGUAAAGCUCCAUUAGCAGGGAAGAAAAUGACGGUACCUGAGUAAGAUGGCCUGGCUAACUACGUGCCAGCAGCCGCGGUUAUACGGAGGGGGCGAGCGUUAUACGGAUUUACUGGGUGUAAAGGGAGCGUAGACGGUUUGCCAAGUCUGCAGUGAAAUGCCCGAGCGUAACUGCGGAACUGCUGUGGAAACUGGCGAACUAGAGUGCGGGAGGGGGAAGCGGAAUUCGUAGUGUAGCGGUGAAAGGCGUAGAUAUGAGGAAGAACACCGGUUGCGAAGGCAGCUUACUGGAGCGUAACUGACGUUGAUGCUCGAAAGCGUGGGGAGCGAACAGGAUUAGAUACCCGAGUAGUC